AACGGAAUUUAAGGGGCUUUGCUCCUUAAUUUAGUGGCGCACGGGUGAGUAACGCGUGGAUAAUCUACCUGAUGAUCCGGGAUAACAUCUCGAAAGGGGUGCUAAUACGGGAUAAGCCCACGGAGUCUUCGGAUUCUGCGGGGAAAAGGGGGGGGGGACCUUCGGGCCUUCCGUCAUCAGAUGAGUCCGCGUACCAUUAGCUAGUUGGUGGGGUAAAGGCCUACCAAGGCGACGAUGGUUAGCUGGUCUGAGAGGAUGAUCAGCCACACUGGAACUGAGACACGGUCCAGACUCCUACGGGAGGCAGCAGUGGGGAAUUUUGCGCAAUGGGGGAAACCCUGACGCAGCAACGCCGCGUGAGUGAUGAAGGCCUUCGGGUCGUAAAGCUCUGUCAGAGGGAAAGAAAUGUAUAGUGGUUAAUACCCAUUAUACUUGACGGUACCCUCAAAGGAAGCACCGGCUAACUCCGUGCCAGCAGCCGCGGUAA
rnacentral:rRNA from 1 species